UCCCUGGUGGUUCAGAUGGUAAAACAUCUGCCUGCAGUGCAGGAGGCCUGGGUUUGAUCCCAGGAUUGGGAA
rnacentral:tRNA from 1 species